CUUAACAAGAUAUACAGGAGAUAAAGGCUUUUAUUCAUUCAUACAAGAGGUACAUAGCUGACAAUGGACUUCCAUUACAAUAGACUGAACAGCCAAAUAUACAGUAUAUGUAUAAUGUGUCAAUAUAAACCUAGUUAUAAAUUAUAUUCAUCCUCUAUGUCAGAUUAUUCCCCAGCCUGUACAGAGGUCAGCCAUCCUAUUGACUCAUCAGUGAAGGUUAGCCCUGUUUCAGCCAUUUGCUGCAGCGCCUCGAUACACCGGGGGGGUUGGCUCUGUGGAUCCACGGCACUCCCCUACCAUUAUAUCCACUCUACUAGCCCUUUCCUGCAGUCAAAUUACCUAGAGGCCACAUGGGUGGAAUGUUAUUCAUCAUUUCAUUUUGUUUUUACCUGAUGAAAAUUCUGUGUUUCUAUGUCAAACAGUUUUGUAAUAUUUCAGUCUAUAUAUAAAGUGUAAUAUUGGGAUGCAAACUCAGUUACAGCUGGAGAAAGGGGUAGGACAGGGGGUUGGGUUAUAUAGUUACAGCUGGAGAAAGUGGUAGGACAGGGGGUUGGGUUAUAUAGUUACAGCUGGAGAAAGUGGUAGGACAGGGGGUUGGGUUAUAUAGUUACAGCUGGAGAAAGGGGUAGGACAGGGGGUUGGGUUAUAUAGUUACAGCUGGAGAAAGGGGUAGGACAGGGGGUUGGGUUAUAUAGUUACAGCUGGAGAAAGGGGUAGGACAGGGGGUUGGGUUAUAUAGUUACAGCUGGAGAAAGGGGUAGGACAGGGGGUUGGGUUAUAUAGUUACAGCUGGAGAAAGGGGUAGGACAGGGGGUUGGGUUAUAUAGUUACAGCUGGAGAAAGGGGUAGGACAGGGGGUUGGGUUAUAUAGUUACAGCUGGAGAAAGGGGUUGGACAGGGGGUUGGGUUAUAUAGUUACAGCUGGAGAAAGUGGUAGGACAGGGGGUUGGGUUAUAUAGUUACAGCUGGAGAAAGGGGUAGGACAGGGGGUUGGGUUAUAUAGUUACAGCUGGAGAAAGGGGUAGGACAGGGGUUGGGUUAUAUAGUUACAGCUGGAGAAAGGGGUAGGACA